rfam:Capnocytophaga sp. oral taxon 329 str. F0087 C_spHMPREF9074-1.0_Cont9.3, whole genome shotgun sequence.
AGAGCAAAUCAGCUUAUCGCUACUAAGGUAGAGGAAAGUCUGGACACCACAGAGCAUCAUAGCGGGUAACGCCCGUCCGCCGCGAGGCGAGGACAAGUGCAACAGAAAGAAUGUAUGGGUAAUGCCAUAGUGAAAUCAGGUAAACUCUAUGAGGUGCAACGCCGCGUAAACCAGCGUUUGAGGGUUGCUCGCCCAAUUGUUGGAGGGUAGGCGGUUAGAGCUAAUGAGCAAUUAUUAGUCGAGAUAAAUGAUAAGCACUUAUCAUUACUGAUAAGAACAGAAUCCGGCUUAUGAUUUGCUCUUUUU